GACGUAGGGUGCAAGCGUUGUCCGGAUUUAUUGGGCGUAAAGAGCUCGUAGGCGGUCUGUCGCGUCGAUCGUGAAAACUUGGGGCUUAACCCUGAGCUUGCGGUCGAUACGGGCAUGACUGGAGUUCGGCAGGGGAGACUGGAAUUCCUGGUGUAGCGGUGAAAUGCGCAGAUAUCAGGAGGAACACCGGUGGCGAAGGCGGGUCUCUGGGCCGAUACUGACGCUGAGGAGCGAAAGCGUGGGGAGCGAACAGG
rnacentral:rRNA from 1 species